rnacentral:rRNA from 1 species
AGCGAACGCUGGCGGCAGGCCUAACACAUGCAAGUCGAACGAAGCCUUCGGGCUUAGUGGCGGACGGGUGAGUAACACGUGGGAACGUACCUUUUGGUUCGGAACAACUCAGGGAAACUUGAGCUAAUACCGGAUGAGCCCUUAGGGGGAAAGAUUUAUCGCCGAAAGAGCGGCCCGCGUUAGAUUAGCUAGUCGGUGAGGUAAAGGCUCACCAAGGCAACGAUCUAUAGCUGGUCUGAGAGGAUGAUCAGCCACACUGGGACUGAGACACGGCCCAGACUCCUACGGGAGGCAGCAGUGGGGAAUCUUGCGCAAUGGGCGAAAGCCUGACGCAGCCAUGCCGCGUGAAUGAUGAAGGUCUUAGGAUUGUAAAAUUCUUUUACCAGGGACGAUAAUGACGGUACCUGGAGAAAAAGCCCCGGCUAACUUCGUGCCAGCAGCCGCAGUAAGAC